rnacentral:lncRNA from 1 species
GCCUACAAGUCCCAGGGUGCUUAGCGCCGGGCGGCGGCGGCGGGAGGCGGUGCGCGUUCGCAGUGCACGCUGGGUAGCGUAGUCCCCGAGCGGCUGCCGAGGCGGAGGCGCUGUAGCGCUCGGGGAAAUGUCAUUCCUCCUGGCGGCGCCGGUCGCGGGGUCCCCUGGGCGCCACCCUGCUCUGAGGGGACUUUCGUUCCCCGCCCAGGCCGGCGAUACCAACUCCGUUGGGAUGCAGCUGUUGCGCAGAUAAACCCCGGCUGCGGGUAGGGUGAGGCCUACCUGCACUUCCAGAAUCGCAGAGAAGCGGGUGCAGUGCAGAGAAGAAUCCAGGAAAUGAUUCAACUAUGAUUCAGGCUAAAACAAAGCCUGACAGUGAGUCAAAGACUUCAGUGUUUCUGUCUUGACAAAAAGAAGACACGUAAGUGAUUUGAUUAUAGUUCUUAAGCACUUUCAUAGACAGAAAAUAUUGGAACUUUUCAAUCUAAUAGAAGAAGACAUAGCAGAGGAUGGAUGUUAAAAUAAGAGAAAUUCUAGUUAAAAGAGCAGCAAGGCGCUGGGACAAAUCCAAAGGAACUGGUAGAACCUCUCUCUCCUGCCUGAUGGCCUACUGCAAGGUCUGCUUUGGAUAGGCAGAAGUUAUUGGCAAGCAA